UGCGUAGGUGGUUUCUUAAGUCAGAGGUGAAAGGCUACGGCUCAACCGUAGUAAGCCUUUGAAACUGGGAAACUUGAGUGCAGGAGAGGAGAGUGGAAUUCCUAGUGUAGCGGUGAAAUGCGUAGAUAUUAGGAGGAACACCAGUUGCGAAGGCGGCUGUCUGGUCUGUAACUGACGCUGAGGCUCGAAAGCAUGGGUAGCAAACA
rnacentral:rRNA from 1 species